rnacentral:lncRNA from 1 species
GAAGGAGGAGCUGAUGGGAAACUUAAAAAAAUCUACACGCAGUGACGAGUUAAGCCGUUCUGGUCCCCCUCAAAUUCCAAAUCCUGACUGGUAAAUUUCGUUUCAUCAAUACCUUCUGCUUAAUAUUAAUAAUAUUGAUUAUGAAAUAUUAUUAACUAAUGUAAAAAAACGCAACUAUAUAAUACGUAACUGUUUUCGGAAACAAAAGAGUUUACGUCAUCAAACAGAAAAUCUUUACCUCAAUUUUUCUUUUGGCCCCGAUGUUUUUUAUACUAGCCAUUUCCUAGGAACGACAUUUCCACUAUUGCGUACUGUUUUGUUUUUCUUUUGACUUCAACGUAUAUUUGCAUGUGCCAAUAGAAUUUAUAUAUAAAUAACAUUUCAUAUGAUACAAAAAAAAAGAAGAUAAUAUCUACUCGAUCGUUUCUAUGGUCUAAAUUGGUUUGUUUAUAAUAGGAA